AGCCAUGCGAGUCGAGAGGGUUCGGCCCUCGGCAGACGGCUCAGUAACACGUGGAUAAUCUGCCCUUAGGUGGAGGAUAACCUCGGGAAACUGAGAAUAAUACUCCAUAGAUCUAGGAUGCUGGAAUGCAUCUAGGUUGAAAGUUCCGGCGCCUAAGGAUGAGUCUGCGGACUAUCAGGCUGUAGUCAAGGUAAAGACCUGACUAACCUACGACGGAUACGGGUUGUGAGAGCAAUAACCCGGAGACGAUAUCUGAGACACGAUAUCGGGCCCUACGGGGCGCAGCAGGCGCGAAACCUUCACACUGUGCGAAAGCACGAUGAGGGGAUCCCAAGUGCUUGCACGUAAGUGUAAGCUGUUUCUGUGUCUAAAAAGCAUAGAGAGUAAGGGCUGGGUAAGACGGGUGCCAGCCGCCGCGGUAAUACCUGCAGCUCAAGUGGUGACCGCUAUUAUUGGGCCUAAAACGUUCGUAGCCGGUUUAGUAAAUGCCUGGGUAAAUCGUGUAGCUUAAUUAUACGAAUUCCGGGUAGACUGCUAAACUUGAGACCGGGAGAGGCUAGAGGUACUUCUGGGGUAGAGGUGAAAUUCUGUAAUCCUAGGGGGACCACCAGUGGCGAAGGCGUCUAGCUAGAACGGGUCUGACGGUGAGGGACGAAGCCCUGGGGCGCAAACCGGAUUAGAUACCCGGGUAGUCCAGGGUGUAAACGCUG
rnacentral:rRNA from 1 species